UAAUAAGUGUUAACUGAUGACCCCUCACCACUAUGUAAGUGAUUCAUAACUAUAGCACACCCAAUAUUUGAACUCUAGUUGCGCCACUGGUGCCACAUCAUGAUUUGAAUCAACACACAAAAGAAAUCAAGUUUGCAUUGGAUAACAUUUUUGACAUUGGGGCAUUUCUAGAGAAGUUAGUUUUAUGGUUAGGUUGAUAAAAAGAACCCUGAAGUCUAGUGAUACUAGGAAUAUGAAAAUCAAGUAGAUUAAGGAGCCUUGGGGCAUCCACUCGACUAUCAACUAGCCCUCGAAUGAAAUUUAU